rnacentral:rRNA from 1 species
AUUGAACGCUGGCGGCAGGCCUAACACAUGCAAGUCGGACGGUAGCACAGAGAGCUUGCUCUUGGGUGACGAGUGGCGGACGGGUGAGUAAUGUCUGGGGAUCUGCCCGAUAGAGGGGGAUAACCACUGGAAACGGUGGCUAAUACCGCAUAACAUCGCAAGACCAAAGAGGGGGACCUUCGGGCCUCUCACUAUCGGAUGAACCCAGAUGGGAUUAGCUAGUAGGCGGGGUAAUGGCCCACCUAGGCGACGAUCCCUAGCUGGUCUGAGAGGAUGACCAGCCACACUGGAACUGAGACACGGUCCAGACUCCUACGGGAGGCAGCAGUGGGGAAUAUUGCACAAUGGGCGCAAGCCUGAUGCAGCCAUGCCGCGUGUAUGAAGAAGGCCUUCGGGUUGUAAAGUACUUUCAGCGGGGAGGAAGGCGGCAAGGUUAAUAACCUUGCCGAUUGACGUUACCCGCAGAAGAAGCACCGGCUAACUCCGUGCCAGCCGCCGCGGUAA